ACGAACGCUGGCGGCGCGCCUAACACAUGCAAGUCGAACGAGCGAGAGAGAGCUUGCUUUCUCGAGCGAGUGGCGAACGGGUGAGUAACGCGUGAGGAACCUGCCUCAAAGAGGGGGACAACAGUUGGAAACGACUGCUAAUACCGCAUAAGCCCGCGGUGCCGCAUGGCACAGAGGGAAAAGGAGCAAUCCGCUUUGAGAUGGCCUCGCGUCCGAUUAGCUAGUUGGUGAGGUAAUGGCCCACCAAGGCGACGAUCGGUAGCCGGACUGAGAGGUUGAACGGCCACAUUGGGACUGAGACACGGCCCAGACUCCUACGGGAGGCAGCAGUGGGGAAUAUUGCACAAUGGGGGAAACCCUGAUGCAGCGACGCCGCGUGGAGGAAGAAGGUCUUCGGAUUGUAAACUCCUGUUGUUGGGGAAGAUAAUGACGGUACCCAACAAGGAAGUGACGGCUAACUACGUGCCAGCAGCCGCGGUAAAACGUAGGUCACAAGCGUUGUCCGGAAUUACUGGGUGUAAAGGGAGCGCAGGCGGGAAGACAAGUUGGAAGUGAAAUCUAUGGGCUCAACCCAUAAACUGCUUUCAAAACUGUUUUUCUUGAGUAGUGCAGAGGUAGGCGGAAUUCCCGGUGUAGCGGUGGAAUGCGUAGAUAUCGGGAGGAACACCAGUGGCGAAGGCGGCCUACUGGGCACCAACUGACGCUGAGGCUCGAAAGUGUGGGUAGCAAACAGGAUUAGAUACCCUGGUAGUCCACACCGUAAACGAUGAUUACUAGGUGUUGGAGGAUUGACCCCUUCAGUGCCGCAGUUAACACAAUAAGUAAUCCACCUGGGGAGUACGACCGCAAGGUUGAAACUCAAAGGAAUUGACGGGGGCCCGCACAAGCAGUGGAGUAUGUGGUUUAAUUCGACGCAACGCGAAGAACCUUACCAAGUCUUGACAUCCCUUGACAGGCAUAGAAAUAUGUUUUCUCUUCGGAGCAAGGAGACAGGUGGUGCAUGGUUGUCGUCAGCUCGUGUCGUGAGAUGUUGGGUUAAGUCCCGCAACGAGCGCAACCCUUAUCCUCAGUAGCCAGCGGUUCGGCCGGGCACUCUGUGGAGACUGCCAGGGAUAACCUGGAGGAAGGUGGGGAUGACGUCAAAUCAUCAUGCCCUUUAUGACUUGGGCUACACACGUACUACAAUGGCGUUAAACAAAGAGAAGCAAGACCGCGAGGUGGAGCAAAACUCAGAAACAACGUCCCAGUUCGGACUGCAGGCUGCAACUCGCCUGCACGAAGUCGGAAUUGCUAGUAAUCGUGGAUCAGCAUGCCACGGUGAAUACGUUCCCGGGCCUUGUACACACCGCCCGUCACACCAUGGGAGUCAGUAACGCCCGAAGUCAGUGACCCAACCGUAAGGAGGGAGCUGCCGAAGGCGGGACCGAUAACUGGGGUG
rnacentral:rRNA from 1 species